UGGGGAAUAUUGGGCAAUGGGGGAAACCCUGACCCAGCAACGCCGCGUGAAGGAAGAAGGCCUUCGGGUUGUAAACUUCUUUUAGCAGGGACGAAGGACGUGACGGUACCUGCAGAAAAAGCAACGGCUAACUACGUGCCAGCAGCCGCGGUAAUACGUAGGUUGCGAGCGUUGUCCGGAAUUACUGGGUGUAAAGGGCGUGCAGGCGGAGCUGCAAGUCAGAUGUGAAAUGUCAUGGCUCAACCAUGGAACUGCAUUUGAAACUGUGGCCCUUGAGUAUCGGAGAGGCAAGCGGAAUUCCUAGUGUAGCGGUGAAAUGCGUAGAUAUUAGGAGGAACACCAGUGGCGAAGGCGGCUUGCUGGACGACAACUGACGCUGAGGCGCGAAAGCGUGGGGAGCAAACAGG
rnacentral:rRNA from 1 species